GGGAAGAGAACUUCCUUCCAGACCUAGCCGGAAGGAUCUAGAAGCACCCAGAACCUUCCAAAGCUGCAUCCACACGAGGGAGAUCAUUCCUCCAAGGUGUCCAGUGCAGGAUCCCAGCUCCGGGAGCUUCCUUUCCCUUUGGCCUUUCUCACGCUGCCCACUGGGACACACCGUCUACUCUGAGGGACCCUUCCAUGGUGCUGGGCCCAGAUGUGAACCUACAAUUUUCUGAGACUCUCACAAACAGGACUAGAAGUUUCCUUUACAGUAAAAACACAGCUUGAGUCUCUAAGCAACCCUUGUGACUGCGUUGCACGGUAUCAGCCUGUAAUCUUGUCCAGCCCACCUUGGGAGUCACCUAUGAUCUCCCUGAAGGCCCUCGGCAACGCUUUCACAUGAAGCUUCGGAACUGCACAUGGCUGCUGGAAAGA